rnacentral:rRNA from 1 species
CCUACGGGAGGCAGCAGUGAGGAAUAUUGGUCAAUGGACGAGAGGCUGAACCAGCCAAGUAGCGUGAGGGAAGACUGCCCUAUGGGUUGUAAACUUCUUUUAUGUGGGGAUAAAGCGUGCCACGUGUGGAUGUUUGUAGGUACUGUAUGAAUAAGGAUCGGCUAACGCCGUGCCAGCAGCCGCGGUAAUACGGAGGAUCCGAGCGUUAUCCGGAUUUAUUGGGUUUAAAGGGAGCGUAGGCGGGUUGUUAAGUGAGUUGUGAAAGUUUGCGGCUCAACCGUCAAAUUGCAGCUGAGACUGGCAUCCUUGAGUACACGAGAGGUAGGCGGAAUUCGUGGUGUAGCGGUGAAAUGCUUAGAUAUCACGAAGAACCCCGAUUGCGAAGGCAGUCUACCGCAC